AUUGAACGCUGGCGGCAGGCCUAACACAUGCAAGUCGAGCGAGAGGCGGACGGGUGAGUUAUGUAUGUGGAUCUGCCCGAUAGAGGGGGAUAACUACUGGAAACGGUGGCUACUACCGCAUACUAGCGGAUGAAUCCAUAUGGGAGUAGCUAGUAGGUGGGGUAAAGGCUAACCAAGGCGACGAUCUCUAGCUGGUCUGAGAGGAUGAUCAUCCACACGGGGAAUGAGACACGGCCCAGACUCCUACGGGAGGCAGCAGUUGGGAAUAUUGGACAAUGGGCGCAAGCCUGAUGCAGCCAGGCCGCGUGUAUGAAGAAGGCCUUAGGGUUGUAAAGUACUUUCAGCGGGGAAGCGUUACCCGCAGAAGAAGCACCGGCUAACUCCGUGCCAGCAGCCGCGGUAAUUC
rnacentral:rRNA from 1 species